rnacentral:rRNA from 1 species
AACGAACGCUGGCGGCAGGCUUAACACAUGCAAGUCGAGCGCAUCCUUCGGGGUGAGCGGCGGACGGGUGAGUAACGCGUGGGAACGUGCCCUCUUCUACGGAAUAGCCUCGGGAAACUGAGAGUAAUGCCGUAUACGCCCGCAAGGGGAAAGAUUUAUCGGAGGAGGAUCGGCCCGCGUUGGAUUAGGUAGUUGGUGGGGUAACGGCCUACCAAGCCGACGAUCCAUAGCUGGUUUGAGAGGAUGAUCAGCCACACUGGGACUGAGACACGGCCCAGACUCCUACGGGAGGCAGCAGUGGGGAAUCUUGGACAAUGGGGGCAACCCUGAUCCAGCCAUGCCGCGUGAUCGAUGAAGGCCUUAGGGUUGUAAAGAUCUUUCAGCUAGGAAGAUAAUGACGGUACCAGCAGAAGAAGCCCCGGCUAACUCCGUG